rnacentral:lncRNA from 1 species
CCACCAGUCUCCACCUCGGGGAAGGGCGUGGCGGCUCGGCCUCCACCAGCGAGGAGGGGGCAAUAAUUGGAUUGGAGAGCUUCAGAAACCCAUCAGCUGCUCCUCUCUGGGGACCGGGAGGCAGGCGGGAGGCUGGCUGCAGAGUGUCUUUGUGAUUGGUCUCAGCCCCUCUCUGCCCUGCAGCCCGGUCCUGACCUGGUGUGGCUGGGCCUUGUCGGUCUUCCUAGGUCUAGAACAGCAGUGCGAGCUCCCUGUAGGCCACGGGAGGCAGACAUCCAUCAGAUAAUCAGCAGAAUGGAAUUAGGCUCUGAUGGGAAAUGUGCCUGAUGCUGAGGAGAUCUGACCCGGGUCUGAGGGGCUGGGAAGACGGGUGGCCCAUGGUCACCAGUCGAUGCUUAUUUAUUUCAUUCUUUCAAAACCUGUCUACUAUAAUUUAUGCUCAUGUCUGGGUGUGUAUAUGGAUGUAUACAUGUGGGUGCAGGCCGGCCAGAGACUAGAUUCCCAGGAGUUGCUGGGAAUUGAACUGAGGUCCUACGCACUUUGCUUUGCUUUUUUUUUUUUUUUUUUGGUUUUUCGAGACAGGGUUUCUCUGUGUAGCCCUGGCUGUCCUGGAACUCACUCUGUAGACCAGGCUGGCCUCGAACUCAGAAAUCCACCUGCCUCUGCAGAAAUCCACUUGCCUCUGCCUCCCGAGUGCUGGGAUUAAAGGCGUGCAUCACCACAACCGGCUUUUUUUUUUUUUUUUUAAGAGAGGGGAAACAUACACAUUUUAUUAAACACAUACAUGGUUUUUUUUGGGGGGGGCGGGGCGAGACAGGGUUUCUCUGUUUAGCCCUGGCUGUCCUGGAACUCACUUUGUAGACCAGGCUGGCCUUGAACUCAGAAAUCCGCCUGCCUCUGCCUCCGGAGCGCUGGGAUUAAAGGAGUGCACCCCUAGGCCAGGUGCUUGCUUUUUUUUUUUUUUUUUUUUUAAAAAACCUCUUUCACCUCUUUAGUUGCUAGGACUUUUAGUUUUAGUUUUUGUUUUGUUUAAUACACAGUCCUAUAGAGCCUUGACUGGCCUAGUACUCACUCUGUAGACAAGGCUGAUGUCAAAUUCACAGAGAUCCACCUGCCUCUGCCUAAUGGAGGGAUUAAAAGUGUGCACCACCACCAAACUGGAUUUUUUUUUUUUUGUUCCUCUGUGUGGGCAUCAGAUCCCCUCAAGCUGGUGUUAAUAGUUGUAAGGCCCCUCAUGUGGGUGCUAGGAAUCAAACUCUGAUGCUUUGCAACAUCAGCAAGCGCUUUUAACCCCAGCCCCACCAAGCACC